UACGAAGGGGGCUAGCGUUGCUCGGAAUCACUGGGCGUAAAGCGCACGUAGGCGGAUUGUUAAGUCAGGGGGUGAAAUCCUGGAGCUCAACUCCAGAACUGCCUUUGAUACUGGCGAUCUCGAGUCCGGGAGAGGUGAGUGGAACUGCGAGUGUAGAGGUGAAAUUCGUAGAUAUUCGCAAGAACACCAGUGGCGAAGGCGGCUCACUGGCCCGGUACUGACGCUGAGGUGCGAAAGCGUGGGGAGCAAACAGGG
rnacentral:rRNA from 1 species